AUACCUCAGAGCAUAAGAUAAUUUCCUACUUGGUCUGACUCAAGAAGCGGUUAAGUGCUUGUUUUUGUUUUGUUUUAAAUUGUUUUUUCCUUGUGUUUGUUCUAGAUUCCCCUUAUGCUUUGAUGGGGAGAUGCAGAAAGAGAGAAUUGCCUUCUUCGCUGUGAGCCUGAAUCUUCCAACCUUAUUCACAAUGGCUGAACAGUAGCUCACUCUACCACGCAGCUCGUUGAUUUCUAACUCCUUUUAGAAACAGGCCCAUCUGGUUGCUUUUUGGCUUCAUUGAAGUGCUACUCAGCAUUAGUAAAGAUUGAAGAAUUGAGCUCCGAAGCAUUCAGUAUUAAUCAUUGACCCAGGCAAAAUUCUAAAGCAGAGGGGAAAGCAGUCAGUGCAGCUUUCCAAACUGUAGCAGAAUGAAAACUGAUCAAAAUCUGGAUGGUGGACUGGAACA